rnacentral:misc_RNA from 1 species
AAACACAAUGUUAAAGUAUGGCCAUUACCAACAUUGUCGGGAAACAAGUCAGCUUGAGUGACAAGCGCCUGAUAAUUGCUCUGUUGACAACCGCCCAAGCUGUUAUUUAAAAAAAAGACGAGCGGGUGAUGCCAGCUCAAGUGUCACUUCCCUCCUAUACUUAAGAUAUCAGCAGCGUUGUUCUGCAUCAAACAGCUGCAGGUGAUCUGUCAAAUCAAGCUUGUAACAUGCCCACAGACAGGAUGAGCGUCGAGGAAGUGAGUAUUCAGGAGAUCCACGGGUUUGACCACGAUUUUGACCCCGAAGUAGACCGGAAGUACCAGUGCCCAAUCUGUCUGGCGGUCCUGCGGGAAGCGGUUCAGACUUCUUGCGGACACAGAUUUUGCGAAGAGUGUCUGAAAGGCGUCAUUAAGUAUGCUCCCGUGGUCUCAAUGUCUGGCGGAAGUAACCUCAACCUCUCAUUAAGAGCAAGAACCUGUGCCAAGUGUCCCGUGGACAACAGAUGGUUCAGAGUACGGGGAGAGGUGUUUCCCGACAACGCCACCAGACGUGAAGUCCUGUCCUUGACCGUCAAAUGCGACCACAACAAAGGUGAUGACCGAUGCCAGUGGAAGGGGGAGCUCCGGGAACUCCAGGAUCACAAGGAUGCCUGUCAGAUGGCCCCCCUGCCAUGCGAGUACAACUGUGGGCUGACGGUGACACGCGGGGAAGCGGUGGCCCACAUGGCCUCCUGCAGGAGAAGGCCCGUCGCGUGUGACCACUGCCACAUAACGUUGGCAUUGGCGGACAGACCAAUGCACCACCUACUGGAGUGUGAGAAGUUCCCGGUCACGUGCACGGUGUGUGGAGCUGUGGGCAUUCUCCGGAAGAACAUCCCGGAUCACAUCGAGCAGGACUGCCCUCUGGUGGAGGUCAGAUGCACUUUCCACAGACUAGGGUGCAAGGCUGAGGAAAAGCGCCAGAACCUUGAGAAACAUAACAAAGAUUACUGGCAGCAACACCUGGCCCUGAUGGCCGAAAACGAGCUCCAUCUGCGGUCUGAGAUGCAGAAGUUCCGGAUCACAGUCGAGUCCCUCACUAACGACGUGGAAGAUCUCAAAGGUCUGGCCGUGAGACAGGAAGUCAUCAUGAAGGUCCAACGUCGACAUAUUCAAAGACUCCGAGGCGAGUCCAACAAUGAUUCUGUUUCAACUACGUCGGACGACGACGUUGCCGACGCAGGGACUAACACCAUCACCGUCGAUAUGGAUGAAGACAGUGCUAACAUUUGAUGACAUGUACCUGGAUAUUUAGUCUCGAGUAUCAUGCGUAGGCAUAGUGUUCUAAACAUGGCACGGACGGUGGGGUACCCCUGUGGUUAAAGGGUUAGCUCGUCAUGUCGAAGAUCCGGGUUCGAGUUCCCCUUUGGUACAAUGUGUGAGGCCCAUUUCUGGUGUUCCCGCCGUGAUAUUGCUGGAAUAUUGCUAAUAGCGGCGUAACACCAUACUCACUCACUAAACAUGUCACAUGACGUCCCAACAGCCACACAAGAUAUAUCUUUCCCUGACGUAUACAUGUGUGUGCACGUACAUGCACGUACAUGCACAUUGAUGUCUCACGUAUCGGUUGGAAAAGCCUUCUUUUUAGCCUCCUUUGUAAAACGUAAGCAAGCCAUGCACUUCAUGUAUUGGCCGCAGUCCUCUCCGUGUAACACCCUCAUCAGGGCCAGGGUGCUCUGAAUACCAUUCUAUAGACACACCAACCGCUAGGACAUUUCUAUAUGCAUUAUUCAGAAAUGUACAUAUAUUGUACAUGACAGAUUAACGAUAGUUAUGGUAUGUCAUGACAAAUUAACUAUAGUAAUAUGAAACAAUGGACUGGUCCUGAACUUCUUUUGAGUAGUAUAUGCACGUGGUACAUAACUUCUUUGAGGGGCAUUUAGAGGUUGGAGUACUAAGUAAGGAUAUGAAUUAUGGAUGAAAAACGUCAGUAUUACAAUUAAGAGCCACUUUUCGGUGUAGGUUGUAACGCAUGCUUGAUAAGGAGAUAGAACCUACACCGACCUGUCGCUCCUCGUUGUAAUAAAUUAGUUGUUCGUCCAUAUCUCAUCCUUACCCACCUGUUACAUGUAAUUGUUCUGUUCUGCAUGUAUGGUGUCGAUGUUGCGUUAAUGGGUAAAUGCACAGCACUAUGCAGCAUUGAUGUUAAUACGAUGGUAUAUCACGGCGGCCUGUCUUGAGUGUGGAUCAGACAAACCAUGACAAAAUAUUUUAAGUACAGCGACUCAUGCCGUGGGGUUCGACAUUAUCUCAUAAGGCAGUUCACAGGUGGGAGAUGUAGGCAGAUGUCAUAUGUUGGACACUCAGUGAAAGAACAAACAAACAAAAGAUAUAUCGGUAAUAUAUUUCGUAUUUAUUGCGGCGCAUGAAGUUAUUAAGUUAUAGGUAAUUAUUCAGUUUCAUCUCAAACUCUUACUAAAACAUAUCCUAAGAGGAAUCCUAAAAUGUGCGAUAAAUGUGCCGUGCGCACAGGGUUAUCCUAGCGACAUGGAUAUCGCACCACAGCAUCUGCUCAAGUACUGUAAUGUUAACCUAGCAUUUGAUAGGAUCGGAAGAGCGUCGCGUA